rnacentral:rRNA from 2 species
UAGGGAAUCUUCGGCAAUGGACGAAAGUCUGACCGAGCAACGCCGCGUGAGUGAAGAAGGUUUUCGGAUCGUAAAACUCUGUUGUUAGAGAAGAACAAGGACGUUAGUAACUGAACGUCCCCUGACGGUAUCUAACCAGAAAGCCACGGCUAACUACGUGCCAGCAGCCGCGGUAAUACGUAGGUGGCAAGCGUUGUCCGGAUUUAUUGGGCGUAAAGCGAGCGCAGGCGGUUUCUUAAGUCUGAUGUGAAAGCCCCCGGCUCAACCGGGGAGGGUCAUUGAAAACUGGGAGACUUGAGUGCAGAAGAGGAGAGUGGAAUUCCAUGUGUAGCGGUGAAAUGCGUAGAUAUAUGGAGGAACACCAGUGGCGAAGGCGGCUCUCUGGUCUGUAACUGACGCUGAGGCUCGAAAGCGUGGGGAGCAAACAGG